GGGGUUAUAGCUCAGCUGGUUAGAGCGCCACGUUGACAUCGUGGAGGUCACAGGUUCGAUCCCUGUUAAUCCCA
rnacentral:tRNA from 1 species